CUGACGGUGAAAACUCAAAAGAAACCACGUCAUUCAUUCCUCUCUUACGUUCUCUCAGUCUCGCGAUUUCUCGUGAGUCCUCUCUCAGUCUAGCGAUUCCUUUCUCGUUGUGGCACUUUCACCCUCAUGUUCCUUGACAUCUCUAUCAAUUUCUCUUCGAUUUGAUGUUGAAUUCAUCACUCUAUCCAAUGUGAUUGUAGAGUUCAAGUUGAAGACUACUAUGCAAAGGUGAGAAAAUGGAACAAGCGAUAUUGACCUAGGACCGUACAAUAGGGAAAAUGGAAUACAAAUUUAGAGCAGGUUCAAAAUGAUAAAAACUCUAUUACAAGUUCAGAAUCCACCUAAUUUAUAUGUGCAACUGUGAAGUUAUUCCUUAGCAGUUAAAAGAUGAUAGAGCUCAAAAGCUUGCUCUACAGCCCUAGCUUGAGGUGAUAAUGAUAUGGUUAGGUCAUUUCACCUGAAAAAUUCAAGCUUCAUUGACUUGAGAGAACUUGAGCACACAAGAAAGCUAGCUGUGGAACUUGAGCUUACAAUCUUUUGCUUUCUAGUGGAGGAACUUUCAGAGGAACUAGUGUGCUAAUGUGGGCAAAUUUUGAAGCAGCUGAAGAACUUACUAUCAGGAAGCAAUUGUGGACAUUAUCAAAAAGAAUGGGUGUUGGAAUGACAAAAUUUAUUUGCCAGGUACCCAUAAUUUUUUCCACUUGUGGACUUGUUGACACCGUUCAAGAAGGGUAUACUGGAUUCCACAUGGGAGCAUUCAACGUAGAAAUCAGUGAUUACUUGAAUGUGACUAUUUUGUUGGUUAUUGUGAGUGCUGGAUAUCAUCUCAGCUUGGCUAGGUGUUUUGGGACAUAAAUACUUUAGUUUAUUUUUGUGAUUAUGUGAUUUUACUUAGAUGUGGUUAUUGUAGAUGCUAGAUAUCAUCUCAUCUUUGUUAGGUGUUUUGGGAUACAUAAAUACUCUUAUUUGUUUUUGUGAUUAAUGUGACUUCCCCGGGAAAUGGACCUUUGUCCCCUUCAUCCCUCAGAGAAAGAGGAGUUUUAUUAGUCCAUGUUUGUGAAUUUUCAAUGUUU